rnacentral:rRNA from 1 species
GACGAACGCUGGCGGCGUGCUUAACACAUGCAAGUCGAACGGAAAGGCCCUGCUUUUGUGGGGUGCUCGAGUGGCGAACGGGUGAGUAACACGUGAGUAACCUGCCCUUGACUUUGGGAUAACUUCAGGAAACUGGGGCUAAUACCGGAUAGGAGCUCCUGCUGCAUGGUGGGGGUUGGAAAGUUUCGGCGGUUGGGGAUGGACUCGCGGCUUAUCAGCUUGUUGGUGGGGUAGUGGCUUACCAAGGCUUUGACGGGUAGCCGGCCUGAGAGGGUGACCGGCGACAGUGGGACUGAGAUACGGCCCAGACUCCUACGGGAGGCAGCAGUGGGGAAUAUUGCACAAUGGGCGGAAGCCUGAUGCAGCAACGCCGCGUGCGGGAUGACGGCCUUCGGGUUGUAAAACGCUUUCGCCUGUGACGAAGCGUGAGUGACGGUAAUGGGUAAAGAAGCACCGGCUAACUACGUG